GCUCAAAUUUGAAAUCUUAAAGGUUUUACCUUGACGAAUUGUAGUUUAAAGAAGUGUUUUCUGUUGAAGUUUUGGUAAAAGUUCUUUGGAAUAGGACAUCAUAGAGGGUGAGAAUCCCGUAUUUGACCAUUAUUUUCAGCUGUGUGAUACACUUUCAAAGAGUCGGAUUGUUUGGGAAUGCAGUCCAAAAUGGGUGGUAAAUUUCAUCUAAAGCUAAGUAUUGGCGAGAGACCGAUAGCGAACAAGUACCGUGAGGGAAAGAUGAAAAGAACUUUGAAAAGAGAGUUAAACAGUACGUGAAAUUGUCAAAAGGGAAGCGUUUGACACCAGUGUUGUUUUCUCGAAAAUCAAUUAAAAAGAGUUGGAUUUUGUGUUGUAUUGACCUUAACAGCUUUCUUCACUCUUUUCCUGCUUUUUUUAAUGCACUUUUCAUUUAACAAG
rnacentral:rRNA from 1 species